rnacentral:rRNA from 1 species
AAUGAACGCUGGCGGCAUGCCUAACACAUGCAAGUCGAACGAAGGCUUCGGCCUUAGUGGCGCACGGGUGCGUAACGCGUGGGAAUCUGCCCUCAGGUUCGGAAUAACAGCGAGAAAUUGCUGCUAAUACCGGAUGAUAUCGCGAGAUCAAAGAUUUAUCGCCUGAGGAUGAGCCCGCGUAGGAUUAGCUAGUUGGUGUGGUAAAGGCGCACCAAGGCGACGAUCCUUAGCUGGUCUGGGAGGAUGAUCAGCCACACUGGGACUGAGACACGGCCCCGACUCAUACGGGAGGCAGCAGUGGGGAAUAUUGGACAAUGGGCGAAAGCUUGAUCCAGCAAUGCCGCGUGAGUGAUGAAGGCCUUAGGGUUGUAAAGCUCUUUUACCCGGGAUGAUAAUGACAGUACCGGGAGAAUAAGCUCCGGCUAACUCCGUGCCAGCAGCCGCCGUAA